CUUUUUGAACUUUUUUCCAACAACUUUUUUCAACAGCUUUUACUUAAUACCUUGCCCUUGUUCAUAGCUGUUACACUGCUCUGAGCAAGUAACAAGCAAUGAGACUUCCUGCUUUUAACCUGAAAGUUAGCUCAGAAAUGGUGUUAGGCUCCAAAUAAGCAGCCCCAGCAAGAAACUACAGCCUGGGAACAUGAUUGUUUAACUGCAAAACGGGAAUGUGACCAGGCUUGGUGCUGCAUGCUGCUUUUCAGCUGGAGCUGGAAGGCCCAUCUGCAGGGUUAAGAUCAGAGCAAGAUUCAGCCCUUGUCAGCAGGCUUUGAGUGGCUGCAGGAUCUACUCUCUUUCAUAUUUAUUUUGCAGGGAGAGUGUUCUUUGGUACCUCCUGACAGGCUGUGCUCCAUAGGUAUCAAUAAUUUAAGUUUUGCGACAGUUCUGUGAAGGAACUCGUGCGUGUGAGCCUGAGGGACAGCCACAGGACUGGUUCAGCAGGAAGGCAGUUGCCAUGUUAAGCUGCCCUGGUUGUUUAUCCAAUUCUUGCUGCCUCACUGCGCCAUGGAGUCUUUAGCCCUGUUUUAUUUGUUUUCACUUCUCAGUGCAGUUACUGCCUCAGAAGUGGGUUCUGGACUUGUCAUCCCCAGGAGCAGUGAGUCUGAGGGAGAAAGCUUUGGGUUUGAAAAAGCAUCAGCACAACUUUGUCUUCACAAAAUAUGGCAUUGCACCCCUUGCUUCAGGCCCCUGAAAUCCUGCUGACCAAGAAGGAGCCCUGGGUGCAGGGAAAGGCUUUGCUGCUCACUUCUGAUCAGAUUUAUCUCACUGAAACAAAUGCUGCCAAGUGCUUGGUAUUAAUAAUGCAUUGAAGGCUGCAGCCACAUCAGAUGUUUUCUUGACUCUUAAGGAAAAGGAUUAUUAUGUGAUGGCCUGGUAGUUCAGUGAAAGGACAAAUGCAUCUUACUCUGAAAUCUGAAGUUCUAGAAAGUGCCCCUGUGUCAGAGGAGGUCAGCAUGUUCCCAGAAGAUGCUCGUGGCAAAGAAAUGUCUCCUGCAAUAAGGCUGAAAACCAGGCUCUCACAGCAGCAGAUCCCCUCCCUCUUCUCAGCACCUCUCUGCAGUCCCAGCUGUAAGGAGUGCCUUGGUCACCAGCCCCCCGUGAAGAGCAACCCCUCUGCCAGGACUCCGUUCUCAGAAAUCUGGGACAGCUCUGCCAUUUUCUUCAGAUUUCUUUCUGCAAUUGUUGCUUUGGAUUUGCUACUGACAUGCUGCUCCCUGUAGCUUUGGUUUUUCUUGCUACGUUCAGCUUCCCACUGGUGGCUGUGGUCCCAUCUCCCACCCAAGGGAGGCUCAGGCAGCCCCAUACCACCCCCACACUGCUGUGGACCAGGACAGACCACCCACAGUUUUCAGAAGAGUUAAUGAGGCCCUCUGUUCAUGGUUACAACUCCACACAGCUUCCCAGCUCAGAUUUUCCAGGACACUGAGUUUAGCCCUGCUUCAAAGCAAAGCCAGAAGCAAAGCUGAAGAUGGCUGGGAUCCUUGCAGAGCUGGAUCUGCUGUAAAGGAGAGAAGCAGAAUUUUGAGAGGGUCUCUAACUUUUAUAUUAAUGGAAGGAUAUGGGUCCUAAACUUGUGGGAAGCAACCAGCUGUUGUACGGAAGAAAAGCUUUGAAAAACUUGACUUCAUGAAGAAGAGUAAAUUUAAUCUGACUUUCCAGGAGAUUUCAUUUUGGCCUUGUCUACCCUGUGAGGCUUUAAGGGUAUAUCCACGUUGAUAAAAGCUGUCUCCAGAAGAGAAGAGCAGCUUUCUCGCACUCCUUUUCUCACCCCAUCUGUGUUGUAGUGUUGUAACACUGAGCAAAAGCAGGUAAAAACAAACACUCCUCCCCUUCUCCCCAUCCCUAGAUCAGCAAAAAUGGAAAAACCUCAGUUAUUAAACUGCACACAAUGCUUUACCAUUAUACAAACA